CCUGAGUGCACGCCAUUACUCCAGCUGGUCACAAGCUAUCACCAGCUCCCCGGCAGGACCCCAGCAACAUGCUGGUCCUACUGGGAGGCUGUAGAUCAGUUCAUGCAGUGGAGUGCUGAGUAACCGAAGACUCGGAUGUUUAAAUAGUGGCUGUUUUAACUGCACUCUUUACAAGAUCGCUCCAGGGCAGACCGAAAAUUUCGCAGAAUGACGUGAGUUGUCUCGUACAAGCACAUUCAUCCACGUUGGCUGGCAGGAAGGUCCUUGUCAAAAUAUAUUCAUAGCUAUGAAUAUACUUUACGCUGCAUGCAUGUGGUAACUCUUGCAAGCACAGAAACCCCACAGUGCUAUCUCGUUUUCAAAUAAAGCGGCCAAGUAAAAUUUUAUGCGUUGAUAUUUUGCAUCUUACUCAUGUUAAUUGAACUUGGCUUGAGACGGUGCGUCCAAGCUUCAUACAUUGUGCAGGGUUGGAAGGAGGAGGAGAAAAAAAACAAUCGCACCCAGCCAUGUGCUUUUCCACGCUAUUCGCUAUGCAAGCUCAAUGUCGGGACUUUCUGUUGCGGAUUAGGAUCACAUUUCAUUCUGUUGACCUUUUGCUGCCACCGCCGGUUGUGUGCGGCUUUUGUUGUGCAAUUAAAAAUAAGGCCUCUGUUUGCAAGCCGGUGAACUUGUUGAAAUUGUCAGCAAACAUCCGACUUGCAAACAAGGCUUAAACAAAUGUCAGCUGCAAAUUCAUAACAGUGCAGCGAAUCUCUCUCAUGUUCUCUUUUGAAUCAGGAAAAUCUUUAAACCUUCUUUUUUAUGAAUUAAGCAAAGCAAAUCUAAUCUGUCAUCUAUUAUUGAUCCAUUAUUAGCUCCGUGGUUCGCAAAUUUUUUAGACCACGUUCUACCCAAGAAAAAGCUUUGAUAGUUUAGUAACCCGUCACGCCUAACAUUAAAAUACGUCACCAUCGGAGGUGUCAGUAUGAAAAAAAACACAGAGCUUUUGUUUCUAUAAAAAAUAUUUAAUGUUAUUGUAUGACACUGAAACAUUAUGCAGAGUUUCAA